UCCUAUUUCUGGGAUAGCUCCGUCGGUAAAGCAUGAGACUUUUAAUCUCAAGGUCGUGGGUUCGAUCCCCACAUUGGGCA